CUCGCGUCGUCCCAGACUCUCCACAGCUCCCGCUGCCGAGACUCCGAGCAGACGUCGCAGCGGGCCAAGCGUCGCCACUCUGGGGACGCGAACAAGCUGGCGGCCCGCGCCCCUCUCCUGCUACCUGGUCGCGGGAAAACGAACUAGCACCGCUCCCCGGGCCGAGGCCAUUCCCCCGCCCCCACCGCCGGAAGAGCUGCCCUUCCCCGAUGGGAGGGGGGCGGGAAACUUUGCGAGACGACUGUUCCGCGCCUUUCUCGCGUGGCGUCGGAGAGGAACUUGGGUGGGUUUCCCGUCCGAGGCCUGACCACACCCUCCCACUUUUCUAGGCCUCGGACCUCAACCUCGUGGACUACGGAGCGGAGGGGGACACUUCGGGCCACUCGGAGGGUGGCACCGAAGUCAGGCGUCCCCAAGGGCUCUGGCGGAUGGCCAAGUUUGUGUUCUUUCCAUCCCACGCCGGAGUAGCGCUCGCUACUUUGGGGAAACUUCAGACUCCUCAACCCCGGCCACGAGGCCACCCCUGUCUUUAAGACCACAUAAGGAACACCAUGAUCCGUGCAUCUGUGCAGCUUGUUCCAGAGUCCCAGCCCUCACCAGCUGUGAGGUCACAUCUCUUGGAAGGCAGUCAUCUACCUCAACCAGCAGCUCCGAGAUGCUGGGCAGCGGGACCAUAUCUGCCAUUGGGAGAGCUGCCGCUGGUGCUCUGGGCUGUCCUACUCCUUCCGGUAGCCAAAGAGAGGAUGCGAGUUUUAAAAAUGCAUAUAUUCAGCCAUUAUCUGGCCCAUCCAGUGACAAUCCCGCUGCUAAGUCCAGGACACCCUGGCUCACACUGCCACCUCCGGACAUGGAUAUGGUCCCUGCCAUCCCAGGAAUGGAAUGUCAUUGACAUGGUGACGGCCACCCUCCACCAGAAUGGACUCCUGUGCUCUGUGCAUCUCUGCUUCACUAGCUCCUGACUCCAAGUCUUUGAUGGGGCAUCUGAUUGGCUGAGCGUAAGUCAGGAGCCCACACUAACUGCAGUGGCAGCUGGGAAAAUGACUGUAUGGCGUUUUUCGCUUCUCUGGUGGGAGGCAACUAGGAAGAUGGGGAAUUUCUCAAACACGGUAGUGGGGGUUGGAUGCCGGUCAGCCUUGUACUUACCUCACCUGGAAAAAUGCCGAACAGCUGUCCCCAGGGAGUGCUAGAGGAUUGUAUGUCUCCAGGGACAGCCUGAGCUUGUCUUCCCUUCCUCCAGAUGCUGAUGGAAGUGUGUGUGUGUGUGUGUGUGUGUGUGUGUGUGUGUCUGUAAGGACAGGAACACAUUACACAACGUGGGGUCAGGAACCCUGGGUACGGUUCUGAGUCCCCGGGCCUCAGUUCCACUCAGCCUGCUGUCCAACCUUUGAGCAUGCAGAAGAUGUGUGGUGGCUUCUGCUGUAGUCUGGGCCACUGGGCCAAAAGAUGCCCCCAAGAGUGCCAAAGCCCCAAACGGAAUGGGGCCAUUGGUUCCGUGUAACAGAUGAGAGCGUAGGUUUUGGAGUCAGAGAGAUCGGGGUUCGCCAGCCAUGUGACCUUGUACAUGUUCCUUAACGUCUCUGAACCUUAGUUUCCUUAUCUGUAAAAUGGAGAGGAGGUGGCAGGCACUCAGCCUCCAUUCCAACCUGUUUCUAUGGCGCCUUCAUGUUCUGCAGAGGUUGGAAGGCUAAAAACUACAGUUCCCAGACACCUUUGCAGCUGGGGCUGCGGAUGAGAAUUAGAUUCCAGCAAGGAGAUGCACUUGUGUGAGGUUAGGAAGGCAGCAGCGGGGAAGAGACUACUUGGUGCUGAAUGUUGCUGCUGAAGACAAUGUGUGUGUGUGUGUGUGUGUGUGUGUGUGUGUGUGUGUCA
ensembl:lncRNA